rnacentral:rRNA from 1 species
UACGGGGGGAGUAAGCGUUGUUCGGAUUUACUGGGCGUAAAGGGCGCGUAGGCGGCACCGCAAGUCGACUGUGAAAUCUCCGGGCUUAACCCGGAAAGGUCAGCCGAUACUGCGGGGCUAGAGUGCAGAAGGGGCAACUGGAAUUCUCGGUGUAGCGGUGAAAUGCGUAGAUAUCGAGAGGAACACCUGCGGCGAAGGCGGGUUGCUGGACUGACACUGACGCUGAUGCGCGAAAGCGUGGGGAGCGAACAGG